rnacentral:rRNA from 1 species
GACGAACGCUGGCGGCGUGCUUAACACAUGCAAGUCGAACGGUAAGGUCCGAGCUUGCUGGGCUACACGAGUGGAGAACGGGUGACUAACCCGUAGGUGCCCUGUCCCGCCCUUCGGGAUAUGCCUGGGACACUGGGUCUCAUACCGCAUACGAUCGCUCUGCGUGGGUGUGGUGGAAAGUUUUUCGGUGUGGGAUGGGCCCGCGGCCUAUCCGCUUGUUGGUGGGGUAGUGGCCUACCAAGGCGGCGACGGGUAGCUGGCCUGAGAGGGUGGACGGCCACAUUAGGACGGAGACGCGGCCCAGACCACUACGGGAGGCAGCAGAGGGGAAGAGUGCACAGUGGGCGGAAGCCUGAUGCAGCGACGCCGCGUGGGGGAUGACGGCCAUCGGGUUGGAAUCUACUGUCACCAUCGACGAAGGGUUUCUGACGGUAGAUGGAGAAGAAGCACCGGCUAACUACGUG